UUAAGAAAGCCAAACCCUCAGCCUCAUGUGGAAAGAGCUCAUUUAUUGAAACUAAAAUAUCUCUUCUUGGAAGGCCAUGACCUCAGAAAGGUGAUGGUAUCAGAAGGUGAAGACUUAGGGAGCUGAUUAGGUCAUGGGUGCAGAUCCACAUGAAUGGGAUUAGUGCCCUUAUAAGUCACUCAAGAGAAAGCCCUCACCUCUUCUGCCAUGUGAGGACACAGUGAGAAGGCACCAACUAUGAACCAGAAAACAGGCCCUCAGCAGACAUGGAAUUUGCUGGUGCCUUCAUCUUGGACUUCCCAGACUUCAGAACGCUGGAGCUGGAUAUACUGAAGGAAUGAAAGUUUUCUGAGCUGACUGCACUGAUAAACCUAGAAGGAGAACAUGGUGAUAAUUGCUUCAUAAUUUUCAAAAGUCAGCAUUAACUGCUGAGUAGCAGAGUGGACUUAAAUUUGUGUUUUCAGUGGAAAUGAUCACAGUGAUGUCCUUACUGCCUCCUAACUCAUGAAAGGAACAACUGGCUGGUCCCUGGAACUCCCUGCAUGACUGGUGAUUGCCCACGGACUUCUAAAACCAUCUUUACUCUGAAAAUGUGAAUGUUGCCCAUGACCUUCGGCUGAUGGAUGAUAUCUGGGCCUGAGAUGGCAAUAUCAGGUAUUUCUGAAGACAUCCUAGGGAAAUGUAGGGAUUGCCAUGGUGCCUCUGAGCUUACCUCUAGAACAGACAUUUUGAUAAGCACUUUUGCUUCUUUCUCUGAAUUCUAAAUCAGCCCUAGAUCGCUGGAGGAUAAUUCUGAAACAAGCCCUACCCAGUCAAUUUUCCUGAAGUUUCAUGAGGAUUCUGAAGAGCGGUGACUGGUGUUGGACUGAAACCAAGGAGGAAGGCCAAGGAGAGGAGAGCACUCAGAGGCAGUGGGUGGACAGAGGUCAUCCAGAGACUUGCAGAAAAUAGGACCAAAGCCAUGGCCCCAGACAGGAGUGGCAAUCCUAAGUGCAGUUUUAGUUGCACUUUUGAGAUAAUGGAAGUACAAAAUCCAUCACUUAACCUCUUUUAACAUCAGUUUAUUCAUCUGCAAAACAUUGACAUGCUACUUCACAGCAUUCUUCACAUAUAAUAAGAAACAGCAUGUCAAAAUACUAAACAAAGCUUAAGACGUGAUGCAAAUAUACUAUCAGAGUAGAUUGUAGAUUAUAGUUCUAUCACUUAUCUCUUUCUUAUUCAUAAGAGAAGCUCUUAUGAACAUUGAGUUAAUUAUUUCUUUUCCCUCCUUAUUUAUGAGCAUACAUGUCUUAUUCAAAGUGUAAAAUAUCACUUGGAAAUUAACAAGGGGAUCAUAUUCCCUAUUUGUUCACAAUAUUUUGUCCCAGAAUGAUGCUUUUGAAAAAAUAAAAGAACUGCUUAUAAAAUCGUGGUACAGUCAAGGCAGAAUAUAAACAAAUGCUCACCAACCAACAGAAGAAAUCUAUCCUGCAAUAUAGAUGACUUUCCCAGUGCACCAUGAUAGUUCCUUUAAGCUGUUAUGAAUUAUUCCAUAAACAUGUAUUUAGAGACUUUUAAAUAUGCAGAUUAUUGGCCUGAGAAACCAUUUCAUCUCCAAAGGAACAUUUGCAGGCUGUCGUGCAAAUCUGCAUUUGAGGAACUUUCACAUUAUGAUCUUAGUGAAUUCUUGACCAGAUAGACUUGAACAGCUGCCACCCAUGCUUGGGAAGUCCCUUUGCUUGAGAAGACAAAAUAGCUCAUUUGUUUGCAAUUCUUUCCUGAAAGUACACAAGGACAAUUUUCUACAUUGUGAAUUACUUCUAUCAGAGCAACAUUUUCCCUGAAAGACCAUAGCUCAUUAUGCUAUUUAGAAACAAACAAACAAAAAUGCAUACAAACAUUUUUUGGGGGGAGUUUUAUAAUUUGUGCCCAGAAGAGACAAGUUUCUUUUCAGAUUAAGUUUUAAAAAAUGUUCCUUUAUUGCUGUUAUGUUCAAGCUGACAUGGAGGUUAUAACUGAGAGAACCCCCCUCUGAAAUAAUAAUGCCUUACGUUUGUAUAAUAUUUUAUACUUUUCAAAGUGCUUUCAGGCACAUUAUUUCAUUUGAUCUUCAAAACAGCUCAGUGAGGCAGGUAAAGUAGGUGUUUUUAUUCAUUUCUUUUUAGAUAAGGAAAUAGGUUCAGACUACAAAUAUUACCCGAGUAUCUACUAACUCCAUCGUAUUGCGUGAGGUGUCACAGAGGAUAAAAUAACAUGUAUUCCUAAAAGAAGAAUCUUGGUUUUAGAUAAGACAUAACAACACAAAGUUAAAUAAUACUAAAUGUACAAUAUGGUUCAAAAGGUGACAAAAGACAAUUUAUGCUCAUAGUAUUAGAAGCAUGAGCAAACUGUAUUCUGGCAGGUUAAGGGAGACUUCUUAAAGCAGGUGCCACCCGAAUAUAUAUGCCUGGAAGGAGGUUUGGAAUUUGGAUUUGGCAUCAUAAUCACCUACUCAUAUAACCUUAAAAUAGAAGAGAUUUUGGCAUUCAUCUAGUUUGUUCUGAUACUAGAUGUUGGCACUCCCUAUAGCACCUUAAACAAAAAUGUUGGAAUAGCUGUGAGUCUUACAAAUUCUAUCUUAUGAAAUCCCAUCUCUACUAAAAAUAAAUUUUAA